AUCACAGACUGUCCAAAUAUUCUUUUCCAGCUCAAUUUGAAUGCAGUUCUCUUGUUCUUUAAGUUUUCUAGAAACAGAGGAAUAAAAAGCUGUUUUCUUUGUUGUUCUUUUGGUCAGUUCAGCUUCAUGAAAGAUGCUCUGCUUGUUGCAGAGUUGACUCACACUGGCUAAUUUCUCUCCAUAACUGUGGUGGGGGCUGAGGUGGCCAGAGGGGAGACUGAGCUGGGACAUGUGUGAUCACGCAGCUCACCUCCCUCACCCCAAAAACUAUCAGGACCCAGAGGAGAGAGGAAUCGGAACAGCUGGAGCUGAGCCCAGCUCCCCAUUCUUCUCUCGUCAGUGACAUCAUAGAAUCAUGGAGCCCUUGAGUUAGAGAGACCAGAGAGCCAGUCCAACCCAGUCCAUCACCUGGAGGCUGGAGAACCACGAGGCUGUUGCCUGUUCGUCCCCCUCUUCUGAGAGGUCCAGACCAUGAACAAUUGGUAUACUUCCUUCUUAUGAAAUCCCUCUCUAUAGCCCUGAGCUCAAGGCUUCACUGUGGAAUUCUACCAAACAUUUAACAAAGAACUAACACCAAUCUUUCUCAAACCUUUCAAAAAUUGAAGAGGGAACACUUACUAGUCAUUCUAUGGAGCUGGCAUUACCCUGAUACCAAAGCCACUACAAAAAAAGAAAGCUAUAGACCAAUAUCCUUUAUGAAUAUUGAUGCACAAGUCUUCAACAAAGUACUAGGAUACCAAAUUCAGCAACAUAUUAAAAGGAUUACACACCAUGACCAAGUGGGACUUAUUCCUGGAAUGCAAAGAUAGUUUAGUACACAAAAACCAACCAACGUAAAACAUCACAUUAACAGAAUGAAGGUUAAAAAUAAACAUAUUAUCAUCUCUACUGAUGCAGAAAAAGCACUUGACAAAAUUUAACACACUUUCAUGCUAAAACCACUCAACAAAUGAGAAAUAGAAGUAAACUACCUCAACAUAAUAAAAGCCAUAUGUGAGAAUCCUACAACUAUCAUCAUAUUCAAUGCCUUUAAAGUAUGGCCUUCUGAAAACCUGACCCUGGGAGACCUGGGAGCCUCAACUUUGUGCAGACUCCAAAUGAGACUCACCAUGAUGCGCCAGAAAUCUCACACCUCUAAUCCACAAAAGGGAGAAGCUUCAUGGUUUAAAUGCCAUUGUCUCUAAGAGACUGAAAUCACUGGAUCUGUGGCAAACCAGGGCAGGGUGGCCUUUGCCACAAUGUACCUGGACUGAAUUUGUGGAGAUCAAUUUGGUGUUGGACUUUGUGAUGGUUUUAAUAUUCCUCCCUUCCCUUGAGUGUGGACUGGAUUUAUAGUAGUAAAUCUCUUCUAAUGACUAAAAUGAAGCAAAAGUGAGGGUCUGUGAGUUCCGAGAGUGGGUCAUAAAACAAAUGUGGCUUCCUCCUUGCCUUUUCUCUCAGGUCACCUGCUCUGGGAGAAGCCAGUUGCCAUGUUGUAAGGACACUCAAGCAGCCCAUGGAAUGACUCACAUGCUGAAGAACUGAGCCCUCCCUCCUUCCAACAGCCAGGGAGGAACUAGGGCUUCUUGCCAAUAACCAUGUGAAGAAGCUUGGAAAUGGAUUCUCCCCCAAAUGAGUCUUCAGAUUACUUUAGACUAACAUCUUGACUGCAACCUCUAGAAAGACCCUGAGCCAGGAUCACCAAGCUCACAGAAGCUAAGAGUUAA
rnacentral:lncRNA from 1 species